rnacentral:lncRNA from 1 species
UCAUAUGUGUGCCCAGGAAGUCCACACAUACAACAAAGAAUAGAAAUAUCAUAAAAAAUGUUAUAUAUAGUGGAAAACAUAUUUAUAUUAACACUUACAAACAUCAGAGUACGCGGAAACAGUAGCUAAAAUUUCUUAGGCUCCAUUCUUCUCAGGGACGGUUGACUGGGGGCUCCGUACGCCAAGCACUUCUGAUAAGCUUCUAGAAAAAACUCCAUAGCAUCUCUAUCCUUCUUCUGAGCAGCACUUUACUACACACUGGGGGUGUGGGGGAAAUAGCAAGGGUGAGUUCAUGUCGAACUCAGCAAGCACAGACGGAAAGUAAUGACAUGCAAGGCUUAAAACAAGGUAAAGCUGACUUGGUUUGACUGCGGUAGCAUUUUAGUUGAUCACUUUUAAUUAUGACUAUUAUUAGAAUAACCUAUUACUAAUUAUGAGUAGCAUAAACCCAACCCUUAAUUAGUGUAAGUAGUAAUUAGCAUCUUUUUAAAUGACUAUCCUAAUAAUUAUAGUAGUCCAGGGAUUAACCCCAAUUAUUAACACAGGAUAGCAAUCCUGCCAACACGGAAUAGCCAUUCCGCCAAAACACGAGGUAGCAACCUCACCAAGUUCCAUCUCCAAGUAUCCAGUGAAUCCAAUUUGCUCAUCAAGUGAGGGUCUGGGCCGCUCGUGACCGUGAGCACGGCUGAUAUAUCAGCUUUACACUCUGCAGAGGUGUGCACGUUCACUCCAAGUCGUGAUUCCCAUUUGCCCGGGGUCAUGACUCCCCAAAACACUGCCAAGGUGAGCAGGCAGGGUCUCAC